AACGCUGGCGGCAUGCCAAAUACAUGCAAGUCGAACGAACGGACCCUUUGACUGAGGAGUGCUUGCACAAAUCAAGAUUAGGAUUUUCCGUUAGUGGCGAACGGGUGAGUAACACGUGGGUAACCUACCUAGAAGUGAGGGAUAACUAUUGGAAACGAUGGAUAAUACCUCAUAGGAAUAUGAUAUUUAAAGUAUUAUAUUUUAAAGAUGCGUUUGCAUCGCUACUAGAUGGGCCUGCGGUGCAUUAGCUAGUUGGUAAGGUAAGAGCUUACCAAGGCGACGAUGUAUAGCCGGACUGAGAGGUUGAACGGCCACACUGGGACUGAGACACGGCCCAGACACCUACGGGUAGCAGCAGUAGGGAAUUUUUCGCAAUGGACGAAAGUCUGACGGAGCAAUGCCGCGUGAGUGAAGACGUUUUCGGAUUGUAAAACUCUGUUGUGUGGGAAGAACACUAAUGAGAGGAAAUGCUCAUUAAUUGACGCAACCACACCAGAAAGCCACGGCUAACUACGUGCCAGCAGCCGCGGUAAUACGUAGGUGGCGAGCGUUAUCCGGAAUUANUGGGCGUAAAGAGCGUGUAGGCGGUAUGAUAAGUCUGGUGUGAAAUCCNAUGGCCAACCACUAAAUUGCAUUGGGAACUGUCAAACUAAAAUACNGGAAAAGUAAGUGGAAUCCAUGUGUACCGGNGGAUGCUUAAUAUAUGGAGGGACACCAAUNGNGAAAGGNAGCNUACUGGGNCCANAUUGGGGCUGANACCCAAAAACGUNGGGUGCAAACAAGGANUAAAAAACCCGGUNNUCCACNCCCUUAAACAAAGANGUGCAAGGUAUUGGUUAAAUUUCAGUGCCGGNGUUAANNCAUUAAACCCNCCCCCCGAAGGAUUCGGUCCCAAGGNUGAAAACCAAAGGAAUUGCCGGGGANCCCCCAAAUUGNNGGG
rnacentral:rRNA from 1 species